GACGAACCGAGCGAACGUUGUUCGGAAUUACUGGGCGUAAAGGGCGCGUAGGCGGCCCGGCAAGUCAGGCGUGAAAGCCCCGGGCUCAACCUGGGAACCGCGCUUGAGACUGGCGGGCUAGAGUUCGGGAGAGGAUGGUGGAAUUCCCAGUGUAGAGGUGAAAUUCGUAGAUAUUGGGAAGAACACCGAUGGCGAAGGCAGCCAUCUGGACCGACACUAACGCUGAGGCGCGAAAGCGUGGGGAGCAAACAGG
rnacentral:rRNA from 1 species